GGAGAGGUGACAGAGUGGUCGAAUGUGCGUGAUUGGAAAUCACGUGUACCCGCAAGGGUACCGGGGGUUCGAAUCCCCCCCUCUCCGCCA
rnacentral:tRNA from 1 species